GGCUGGAAUUCCAUUUGGCGAUUGAGCUGCUUUAGGAAUCCAGCUGGAACCGGUCUGAAGCAGCGCAGGGGCUCCGUCUGGGGUUUCGAGCCUCUGUUGCUAGAGCAAGGCGACCCUGGGCGCCUCCUCGCUUGGGUUUCCUUACUGCACUUUAUCGGCUCGUGUAAAACUAGACCCUGUCAUUAUCGCACACAAGACUGUAUUCUUUAUUCCUUCGUUUAACCAAAUCUAGUCGGACGGCCAAUAUGACCAGCGCUGGGCUGGGGGCCAAGGAGCCUGAACAAGGACCAGCUGCACAAUUGGUGCGGCCCAGUGCAAAAUGAAAAUGCAGAGGUUCUUGCUCAGAAAUUAUUAAGUACUGCAAGAUAGACCGCAGUGAGCCGAGUGCCUGGUCCAUCGAAGAAUGGUGCCUUGUGGGACUGCUCAAGUUAGAGCCCCUAAGAACAACCAAAAAACUGUCAGCUCAGAGGGAGAACGACAGCUAGCCACCACUACCGAGGUUCAUUCAUGGGUUCAUUGAAUAUUUAUGGAGUUCCUCCUGUGUGCCAGGUUGGCAGAAAUUAGGAAGAUUUGGUGAACUUCUAAUUGUUUGAAAACGAUUACAUCAAGUCUUUAUUAGGCUACAUAUUUGCCAGUUAUUUCAGUAACUUCUCCAAUGCCACAGUUUCCAAAUAUCAUCUUAGAAACUUUAAAUGUGUUCAUGUAUUCCAGUUUGUCCACGGCAAGUCUGAUGUCAAAAUCCUGCAGUACUGUGAGUGUGAUUUGUCCAUCACAAAACAAACGGAAGUGCUUGCAUUUGUGGAUUUAAUAUGAGUUUCAAAACCCUCGAACUACUAAAACAAUCCAAAACAAUCCGUAAUGUAACUGAGUGUCAAAAACUCAAACCCAUCUCUGGCACAGCUGAUAUACUUUUCUAGAGAGUGGGCUUACCCAACCAUCUGGUAACCACAUCUCAGGAAACUUAUUUUUCUCAACAUGUUACAGGGAAAAUUAUAUCAUUGUGAUAUUCACAAUUUGAGGAUUUACAAAGGUUAAGAGAUACCCUUCCAACCCAUUUCACAUACAUUCUGACUCUAGGAAAGAUACACAUACCCCCCUUUUUUUAAACAUCCUCAUAUUCUAAGACUUGUAUGGGAUAUUAAUCGUUGGGGUCAAAAGAUUCCUGGCUUUGACAGUAAUGGAUGUAAAAUAGUAUUUUAAAAGAGAACAUUUUGAUGGCCCGUAAUUAAGCUGAAUAACUUAGUAGAGUCUAAAGUCCUGUUGAAAGAGAAGAAUGGUCAGGUUAUAUGAAUCUAAGAUCUAUAAUUAGAUAAUAUAUUAAAUAUAUAUCUAGUAUAUUUGGGAAAUAUUGAAGUAAAUUUUGACAAAAAGCAGCUUAUAUCAAAAUCUAAAAUGUAUGCUUUGAAAUCAUCUCAUAAUUUAUGAAAAUGAUUAUCAUGUAUGGUGAUCUCUUCACCUUACAGAAAGGUCAACAUAUGUAGAAAAGCCAAAAAGAGGAAGGUUAAAUGAAGAUAGAGGACAAAGAGAAAUUAUAAGGAUUUUUUACUUCUAUUAUCCCUCUAAAAUAUUACUAAAUAUUUGCAUAAAGAUUAUAAGAAGGAAUAGUAGAGUGGAUAGAAAUGGUUUGAAAAUCAUAAGCUAAAUACCAUGUUUCUGCUGUUGGUAACCAUGUCAUAAUGAAGAAAUUUUCACUUUUUCUCUCUGCCUUUCUGAUACUCUUUUUUAUUCUGUUGCACUGGCAUUAGUGAGUAAAUAAGUAAUUAAAGUAGUCUAAUUUUUUUUUUCUGCUUGGUAUAUGCAGUACAAGGAAAGUUAAAGUAUAAGGAAAAUGAAAGAAAGAAUAAAUUCAAAUGAUAUUAAAAUAUCUGAAGCAUUAAAAAAAUACUGUUUUAUCUCCACCCUAAAGUGAGCACAAGAAUGAACAUGUCAGGAAGAUAAAGAAGAUCUCUGUUGUCUGUUUCACUUUAACAAUUUGGUGCAAUGACAAUGUUUCCAUAUCAGCUAAGAUCUUAUAGGAAAAGAGAACCAAUUAAUUUCUUCUCCAGAUGUCUUCCUGUUUAUUUCCACUUCUAAAGGAAAUUUUCCACUGACUCUGAUGUCUUCAGCAUCAGAGGCAUUUUUAGGAGUUAAAAAACCCAACCAACUUUAAACUUUUGCUUUCCCAUUGUUUUUAUUCUUCCUUUUAUGCUAGAGCUAUUCUUUGAUUUUUUUUCUUCUCUCUACCUUUUCUGUAUUCCUCUCUCACAUUAAUUUUUCUUUUCCAUUUCCCGAAUCAUUGCUUAUUUUAGAAGGAUACUGAAUUUCUUCUAUAGUCACUAUAAUGAAUGAGCCUCUCUCAUUCAUAUGAAUGAGCUAACUUUACUAAGUUAUAGGGAAAGAACAAAACUCUGAACAACUUAUAUGCUAAUGAAAUUAGAGUCUAAAAGAGUUAAUUAAACUUUCAUAUAACAAAUUGUCAGGCAUUAGCUCAGAUUUGACCAUACCUAUGUGUAUGUAUGUAUGUAUGUAUGAAUCUACCUAUCUAUAUCUAAAUAAUUGCUUUUAUUACUAUGAGAGGUACUAUAGCAAAAUAAUGUGACUUUAAAAAAUGUAUAAUCACAUGUGUAUAUCCAAAUGAAUAUUGUUCUUCAAAGUAGCAUUUAGUGAAGAUAGACCCAUUAUUCCAAAUAUGUUGUCAUUGUUCAAAAAAUUUUCAGAAAUCAUUUUGGAAUUGUAAAUCCUAUUCCCUAGUUACAAACUGGAUGUUUAUGUUCUCCCCCAAAUGUGUAUGUUGAAGUCCUAAUAUGAUAGAAUUUGGAGAUGGGCUUUGGGGGGUAAUUAGGAUUAAAUAAAUUUAUGGGGGCAGGGCUCUCGUCUAAUGGGAUUAGUGCUCUUAUGGGAAGAGGCAUUAGGGAGCUUGCUCUCUCCCUGCCUGUGCUCCCAGGAAGAGGUCCUGUGAGCCCUGGAGGCAAUGACAGCAACCUACAACCAAGAGCAGAGACCUCAGAAUAAGCCUAUUGUGUUAACCCUUUGAUCUUCAACUUCUCAGCCUCUAGAACCGGGAGAAAUAAAUUUAUAUUGUUGAA